CUUGAAGAAACCCAUUGUUGCUCCAUCUCUGACCACGCCAUACUCGAUCUUGGUCUGCUUGGCAAUGUCAUCAGCUGAAUCCACGGAAGCUUCUUUAUCAACCAUAAUGCAGGUGUGCAGCAGCAGGGAAACUCCUAACUGUGGGCUCUGAAGACCAAGGUUGAAGACCUCUGACUUAGGCUGUUCAAAAUCCUAAUCUGAUUGACUGAUCGGCACCUUGUUGAUGACUACUUCCCCAGGUAUGACCUGAUUCAGAAUCCAAAGUGGGGAUUCUCCUAGAUAUCCAAGAGACCUGAAAACAAGACAGCUGGAAGUCUCCCAGUGACCUCUGAGCAGACAGAAACGCUCCUAGAGGAGGGAAGCCGACUAUCUCUCUGACCAUAAAUCGUUCCUCUGCUGCUCUCAUAUUUCUCUGCCAGUAUCAGCAAAUUGGAAGAGCUGCUGUGCAGUUUCACAAGAGUGCCGCCGAGUUUCUGUGCUUAAUGAAUUGCUGAAUGUGUUUGCAAUCCUUGCAGCCAAAGAUCUACUGAGCUUAACUAAACCUUCUUGAUUUGUCUUGUUACACUGAGGUUAAACAUUUUCUUACUUAGGUCCAUUUUGCUGCAGUUAACUCCAGUAUGUAAAUCCUGGCCCUUCCUCUGCUUAUUCAUCCCUUUAAAGAACACCUUGGAGAAGGAAAGGACUUCCCUUCCUUGUUUUUAUACUCUGAACAAUCAGCUCUUUGAUUAAAUGUUAAGUCCUUCAAAUCAUCAGAGUGAAUGGUAUAAGCGGAUAAGAAUAGCUCACAUUGACAAAAAGAUUUUACAAGAAAAUUGCAAAAACAAAAAUACAUCUUAGUAUAGAUAGUUCAAAUUGAUAUCAUUAGUGUUAAGGAUUACAAACUUUAAAGUUUAAGAUGGUAUUUUCUUGUUUCUGUCAUGUAGUUCAAUUUGUGUAAUGUUAUG